rnacentral:rRNA from 1 species
UACGUAGGCAGCGAGCGUUGUUCGGAGUUACUGGGCGUAAAGGGUGUGUAGGCGGUUGUUUAAGUUUGGUGUGAAAUCUCCCGGCUCAACUGGGAGGGUGCGCCGAAUACUGAAUGACUUCGAGUGCGGGAGAGGAGAGUGGAAUUCCUGGUGUAGCGGUGAAAUGCGUAGAUAUCAGGAGGAACACCGGUGGUGUAGACGGCUCUCUGGACCGUAACUGACGCUGAUGCACGAAAGUGUGGGGAUCAAACAGG